rfam:Chelonia mydas contig76636, whole genome shotgun sequence.
ACCAGGAUGGCCGAAAGGUUAAGGCGUUGGACUUAAAUUCCAAUGGACAUUUGUCUGUGUGGGUUUGAUCCCCACUUCUGGUA